UUUUACCUGCCUCAUAUUAAAACCAGGCUCUCUCUAGAGAGAAAACUGAGCUUGUAUCUGGGCCAAGAUCCUGGUAAACUAGGUCACCACCAUGCCUGUGCCACCUGCAGUUAGCUCAGCUCCCAGGGGAAGAGCAGAUGCCAUGUGGCAGAGCCACAGCUCUGCACAGGCCUUGAAUGUGGCUGCCAAAGGAACAGUCCUGAUCGUCUGUGUCUCCUGAAAUGUUAACGAAGGCACACGGUGGUAUGGAGUAAAAAUUUGAUCCUGGAUAAAACCAAACUGGGAGAGGGGGAGAGAGUGAGAGAGGUUAGUUGUAACUUGCUGGGUUUCCCAAAGUUACUCCCUUCUGGCCACGUGGACAUUUAUGGCCUCAGCUAUAAGGAACAGCCACUGUCAGCACAAUGGGAAAAGAAUGACUGGAAAAAAAUUCAGAAAAGAAUGACUGCAAAAGCCCCUGUUUCAGGUAAGAAACAGCACCCUCACUUUGAUCUCCUCAAAAGUGUGAGACAGAUGGAGGUGGCUAAAAAUGAAACAAGACCAAAGUUCAUCCCAAACAGGA
rnacentral:lncRNA from 1 species